GAUGAACGCUGGCGGCGUGCUUAACACAUGCAAGUCGAACGGAAAGGCUCCUGCUUGCAGGGGUACUCGAGUGGCGAACGGGUGAGUAACUCGUGGGUGAUCUGCCCUGCACUUCGGGAUAAGCCUGGGAAACUGGGUCUAAUACCGGAUAGGACGAUGGUUUGGAUGCCAUUGUGGAAAGUUUUUCGGUGUGGGAUGAGCUCGCGGCCUAUCAGCUUGUUGGUGGGGUAAUGGCCUACCAAGGCGUCGACGGGUAGCCGGCCUGAGAGGGUGUACGGCCACAUUGGGACUGAGAUACGGCCCAGACUCCUACGGGAGGCAGCAGUGGGGAAUAUUGCACAAUGGGCGCAAGCCUGAUGCAGCGACGCCGCGUGGGGGAUGACGGCCUUCGGGUUGUAAACUCCUUUCGCUAGGGACGAAGCGCAAGUGACGGUACCUGGAGAAGAAGCACCGGCUAACUACGUG
rnacentral:rRNA from 1 species